GCCAGGCAUGGUGGCGCAUGCCUGUAGUCCCAGCUACUCUGGAGGCUGAGGCAGGAGAAUCACUUGAACCUGGGAGCCGGAGGUUGCAGUGACUAAGAUCAUGCCACUGUACUCCAGCCUGGGCAACAGAGCGAGAUCCUGUCUCAA
rnacentral:SRP_RNA from 1 species